UGGGGAAUUUUGGACAAUGGGGGAAACCCUGAUCCAGCCAUCCCGCGUGUGCGAUGAAGGCCUUCGGGUUGUAAAGCACUUUUGGCAGGAAAGAAACGUCAUGGGUUAAUACCCCGUGAAACUGACGGUACCUGCAGAAUAAGCACCGGCUAACUACGUGCCAGCAGCCGCGGUAAUACGUAGGGUGCAAGCGUUAAUCGGAAUUACUGGGCGUAAAGCGUGCGCAGGCGGUUCGGAAAGAAAGAUGUGAAAUCCCAGAGCACAACUUUGGAACUGCAUUAUUAACUACCGGGCUAGAGUGUGUCAGGGGGAGGUGGAAUUCCGCGUGUAGCAGUGAAAUGCGUAGAUAUGCGGAGGAACACCGAUGGCGAAGGCAGCCUCCUGGGAUAACACUGACGCUCAUGCACGAAAGCGUGGGGAGCAAACAGG
rnacentral:rRNA from 1 species